UGGGGAAUUUUGCACAAUGGGGGAAACCCUGAUGCAGCGACGCCGCGUGAUUUAGAAGGCCUUCGGGUUGUAAAAAUCUUUUCUAUGGGAAGAAAAUGACAGUACCAUAGGAAUAAGGACCGGAUAAUUACGUGCCAGCAGCCGCGGUAAUACGUAAGGUCCGAGCGUUGUCCGGAAUCAUUGGGCGUAAAGGGUACGUAGGCGGGUAAGCAAGUUAGAAGUGAAAUCCUAUAGCUCAACUAUAGUAAGCUUUUAAAACUGCUCAUCUUGGGGUAUGGAAGAGAAAGUGGAAUUCCUAGUGUAGCGGUGAAAUGCGCAGAUAUUAGGGGGAAUACCGGUGGCGGAGGCGACUUUCUGGCCAUAACCUGACGCUGAGGUACGAAAGCGUGGGUAGCAAACAGG
rnacentral:rRNA from 1 species